GCCAGCAUGGUGUAGUGGUUUGAGUGUUAGACUAUGACUCUGGAGAUUAGGGUUCAAUUCCCACCUUGGCC
rnacentral:tRNA from 1 species